AAGACCAAAAGGAGGUCAUGAAUAAGAGAAAGAAGGUCACUAAUUACAGAAAUGGAGGUCAUUAAUUACAGAAAGGGAGGUAAUUAAUGAUAGAAAGGGAGGUCAUUAAUGAUAGAAAGGAGGUCAUUAAUGAUAGAAAGCGA